GGGGUGUAUUCUGUAACACUUCCGUUAAAUUUUAGUGGCCUCUAAAAUUUUAGCGCCCGCUAAAAAUAUUUUGGUAUUCUGUAAAUCAUACAUCCGUUAAAAUCAUAACCUAAACCGUUAAAACUCCCUCUAAAUAAAAAUAUUUUAGAGGAUGUCAAAACGUACCCGCUAAAUUUUUAGCAGUCCGUUAAAUGUGGUUUGAUUAUUUUUGUUGGGUUAUGUUUGUAUGAAUAGUAGUUUGUUAUUCUUGUAUUAUACUGGAGAUAAAUAUUUAAAAAUGGAAAAUGGCCCUUUAUAAUGUAUUUGGCGAAGAAGUACUUAAUAAAUAAUAAUGAAAGAGCUGAUUUCAGAUUACAACAUAAACACAAGGUUAAUAAUUGACCUGAAAGUAAAUAACUACAAUAUUACCAUUUCAAAGGAAGUAGGUACCUACCUAAGUACCUAGAAAUGUUAUUGAAAAAGUGUAAGUCAAAGAUGUUUGUCAAAGCAAUUAAAUCCUAUUAAUGCAGGUAAAAUUAUUUAAAGUUAUUGUGGAACAUUACAAAACGUACCAAAUUAUUACAAAGGUAAAGUUUCAGAAGGUUUAUAACCAGAUGCAGAUUAAUAAGAUGACCUUAAUGUUAUUGAAAAUAGACCAUGUAUUUGACCAAAAUUAGUGUCGAAGGGGAAAAGAAAAAAUAAGAUAUGCAUUUUUUCAGCAAUAUUUUAAUGUAUAACUUUAUAAAUAAAAAUGUUUAAUUGGUAAAUAUGAGUUUUACUAAAAAAUAAUUAAAUAUAAUAAAUAUUAUUUUCUAGGAAACUGUCAUUUUCUUCUUCUUCUUAAGGUUUUUGGCCUCUAACAGUCAGUUUUCGGUCAAUUUCUAGGUUAAAAGUAGUUCAAAACGAUCAACGUGCGACGUUGCCGUAUUUGUUCCAAAACCUUUUAGAGGAUUCCUCUAAAAUAAUAUUAUUUUAGCGGUCCUCUAUAAUAUGUGUUU